CAGUGUGGAGGUCAAAUCGAAGGUUUGAAAUUCUGAGUUACUAUUCACAAUUCGGGUUCAAACUUCUCCUUAAUUGUUGAGGACGACGUACCGAGCUAUUGCUCGAUGACGGAACACAAAUGCGUGAUCGUCGGAAUAGUACUUUUGCAGGCGAAUUGGUUGAGGUUGUGCGUACACGGAGUUGAGGCAUAGUCAACAGCAUAGCUUCCGCGGUUGCCUUUGAGUUAGGUUGUCCUUAUUUACCUUUCUAUUAGAAUUGCUCUGAUUACCUAUAGGAUUUAUGUUUUUCAAGUCGAGGUUUGUGUUUUGUGAAUUG
rnacentral:lncRNA from 1 species